rnacentral:rRNA from 1 species
GACGAACGCUGGCGGCGGGCUUAACACAUGCAAGUCGAACGGAAAGGCCCUGCUUUUGUGGGGUGCUCGAGUGGCGAACGGGUGAGUAACACGUGAGUAACCUGCCCUUGACUUUGGGAUAACUUCAGGAAACUGGGGCUAAUACCGUAUAGGAUCUCCUGCUGCAUUGUGGGGGUUGGAACGUUUCGGCUGUUGGGGAUGGACUCGCGGCUUAUCAGCUUGUUGGUUGGGUAGUGGCUUACCAAGGCUUUGACGGGUAGCCGGCCUGAGAGGGUGGCCGGCCACCUUGGGACUGAGAUACGGAGCAGAGUGCAACGGGGGGCAGCGGUGGGGAGUAUUGCACAAUGGGAGGACGCGUGAUGCAGAAACGUCGCGUGCGGGAUGACGGCCUGCGGGUUGUAAACAGCAUUAGCCUGUGACGAAGCGUGAGUGACGGUAAUGGGUAAAGAAGCACCGGCUAACUACGUG